UACGUAGGGUGCAAGCGUUGUCCGGAAUUAUUGGGCGCAAAGAGCUCGUAGGCGGUCUGUCACGUCGGCUGUGAAAUCCCGAGGCUCAACCUCGGGUCUGCAGUCGAUACGGGCAAACUAGAGUAUUGCAGGGGAGACUGGAAUUCCUGGUGUAGCGGUGAAAUGCGCAGAUAUCAGGAGGAACACCGGUGGCGAAGGCGGGUCUCUGGGCAAUAACUGACGCUGAGGAGCGAAAGCGUGGGGAGCGAACAGG
rnacentral:rRNA from 1 species